CAGGCAUGCGCUGCUAUACAUGCAGUCGAACGCACAGCGAAAGGUGCUUGCACCUUUCAAGUGAGUGGCGAACGGGUGAGUAACACGUGGACAACCUGCCUCAAGGCUGGGGAUAACAUUUGGAAACAGAUGCUAAUACCGAAUAAAACUUAGUGUCGCAUGACAAAAAGUUAAAAGGCGCUUCGGCGUCACCUAGAGAUGGAUCCGCGGUGCAUUAGUUAGUUGGUGGGGUAAAGGCCUACCAAGACAAUGAUGCAUAGCCGAGUUGAGAGACUGAUCGGCCACAUUGGGACUGAGACACGGCCCAAACUCCUACGGGAGGCUGCAGUAGGGAAUCUUCCACAAUGGGCGAAAGCCUGAUGGAGCAACGCCGCGUGUGUGAUGAAGGCUUUCGGGUCGUAAAGCACUGUUGUAUGGGAAGAACAGCUAGAAUAGGAAAUGAUUUUAGUUUGACGGUACCAUACCAGAAAGGGACGGCUAAAUACGUGCCAGCAGCCGCGGUAAUACGUAUGUCCCGAGCGUUAUCCGGAUUUAUUGGGCGUAAAGCGAGCGCAGACGGUUUAUUAAGUCUGAUGUGAAAGCCCGGAGCUCAACUCCGGAAUGGCAUUGGAAACUGGUUAACUUGAGUGCAGUAGAGGUAAGUGGAACUCCAUGUGUAGCGGUGGAAUGCGUAGAUAUAUGGAAGAACACCAGUGGCGAAGGCGGCUUACUGGACUGCAACUGACGUUGAGGCUCGAAAGUGUGGGUAGCAAACAGGAUUAGAUACCCUGGUAGUCCACACCGUAAACGAUGAACACUAGGUGUUAGGAGGUUUCCGCCUCUUAGUGCCGAAGCUAACGCAUUAAGUGUUCCGCCUGGGGAGUACGAGCGCAAGGUUGAGACUCAUACGAAUUGAC
rnacentral:rRNA from 1 species